UACAGAGGGUGCGAGCGUUAUUCGGAAUUACUGGGCGUAAAGCGCGCGUAGGCGGCUUUGCAAGUCGGGUGUGAAAUCCCCAGGCUUAACCUGGGAACUGCAUUCGAGACUGCAUUGCUAGAGUAUGGGAGAGGGAAGUGGAAUUUCCGGUGUAGCGGUGAAAUGCGUAGAUAUCGGGAAGAACACCGGUGGCGAAAGCGGCUUGCUGGGUCUGCACUGACACUGAGGGACGAAAGCUAGGGGAGCGAAUGGG
rnacentral:rRNA from 1 species